rnacentral:rRNA from 1 species
UACGAGAGGUCCAAACGUUAUUCGGAAUUACUGGGCUUACAGAGUUCGUAGGCGGCUCUACAAGUGAGGUGUGAAAUCCCUCAGCUUAACUGGGGAACUGCGUCUGAUACUGGAUGGCUUGGAUUCGGGAGAGGAGUGCGGAAUUCCAGGUGUAGCGGUGAAAUGCGUAGAUAUCUGGAGGAACACCGGUGGCGAAGGCGGCAUUCUGGACCGAUAUUGACGCUGAGGAGCGAAAGCCAGGGGAGCAAACGGG